rnacentral:rRNA from 1 species
UACGUAGGGCGCAAGCGUUGUCCGGAAUUAUUGGGCGUAAAGAGCUCGUAGGCGGCUUGUCACGUCGGGUGUGAAAGCCCGGGGCUUAACCCCGGGUCUGCAUUCGAUACGGGCUGGCUAGAGUGUGGUAGGGGAGAUCGGAAUUCCUGGUGUAGCGGUGAAAUGCGCAGAUAUCAGGAGGAACACCGGUGGCGAAGGCGGCUCGCUGGGCCAUUCCUGACGCUGAGACGCGAAAGCUAGGGGAGCGAACAGG